GGAACAGGACAACAUGGGUCAUGUAUCUGUGUUACUUCACACGUUAUUCAUUCAGCAGAUGCUUUAAUCCAAAAUGACAUAUAAACACUACAUUUAGACCCUAAAUUUAACCCUAACAGCAGAUCAAGGAUCUGAAUUACAGUAUUCUAACUUCAUUUCAGGGGUUAGUCAAGGAACAGUCUGUAUUUACCAGGCACAAUGCAAAGUAACAUCUCAGUUCAACAAUAAUAUAUAUCCACUACAGGACACUACAGGAUAUCUCAAGUACAAUAUGACAUAGUCCAAUCACCAAUACCAUCUCAACUAUAUUACAUAGUACAAGCAACAAAACCAUCUCAACUAUAUUACAUAGUACAAGCAACAAAACCUUCUCAACUAUAUUACAUAGUACAAGCAACAAUAACAUCUCAACCAUAUUACAUGGUAGUGCAACAAUAACAUUUCAAGGACAACAUUACUGUUGCCUUACUAUGUGAAAUGUGCCCUUGGGUGUCUUGAAAGGCACAGUAAAUGUAAGUUAUUAUCAUUAGUGUAGUACAACAAUAACGUGUCAACGACAAUAGAGGGAGCCCAGAUGCUGUCAUGUGGAGUAUGUGGUUAAGGAUUAAACAUCUCUAUCUGGUGACUGUGAGUCUCUCUACAGACAGCAGAGGUGUCUAACUGUGAGUCUCUCUACAGACAGCAGAGGUGUCUAACUGUGAGUCUCUACAGACAGCAGAGGUGUCUAACUGUGAGUCUCUACAUACAGCAGAAGUGUCUAACUGUGAGUCUCUCUACAUACAGCAGAAGUGUCUAGCUGUGAGUCUCUCUACAGACAGCAGAAGUGUCUAACUGUGAGUCUCCAGACCUGCUGAUGCCCUCGUGGCCAUGAUUGUUCUGAGAUGUCUCGGUUUCUUCAUCUUAUUUCCAUGUGCUGUGAAGAGCGUGACCUUCCAGCAGUCUCCGUCUGUCAUGGUUACAGAGAACGCCAGCGUAGAAAUCUUGUGUAGCCAUGACGACAACAGCUUGUUGGUCAUGCUGUGGUACCAGCAGCGACCUGUCUCUCGGGAUAUGACCCUCAUCGGGUACGGUUAUGCCUCCUCCGAGCCCAGCUACGAGGGUCAGUUCCAGGAGAGCUUCCAGCUCACCAGAGAGGACACCCUGAGAGGAGCGCUCCUCCUCCCCCGCGCAGCUCCUGCAGACUCGGCCGUGUAUUUCUGUGCUGCCAGUACACAGUGAUGUGGCUUGAUGCCACCGCCUCACCAAAACCCUGGCCUAUCCUCAGAUUCAUGUCCAACAGUACCCCUACCAAGCACCAACCCUCAGACCCUAACACAGCAAGACCCUGCAUUACUACAUUCAUGUCACUGAUCCAUCACCUCACUGCACCAGACACAAGAGCCACAGGGCACCACAAAGCAAGAGCUAGUCUCCAAGCAACACCGACUAUUGGUCACGUGACCUGCCGGUUGGUUUACUGUGAACUGGUGAGACC